rnacentral:rRNA from 1 species
UACGGAGGGUGCAAGCGUUAAUCGGAAUUACUGGGCGUAAAGAGUACGUAGGCGGCUUUUCAAGUCGGAUGUGAAAUCCCUGGGCUUAACCUAGGAACUGCAUUUAAAACUACCAAACUAGAGUAUAGGAGAGGAAAGUGGAAUUUCUGGUGUAGCGGUGAAAUGCGUAGAUAUCAGAAGGAACACCAAUGGCGAAGGCAGCUUUCUGGACUAAUACUGACGCUGAGGUACGAAAGCGUGGGGAGCGAACAGG